UACGGGGGGGGCAAGCGUUGUUCGGAAUUACUGGGCGUAAAGGGCUCGUAGGUGGCCAACUAAGUCGGACGUGAAAUCCCUCAGCUUAACUGGGGAACUGCGUCCGAUACUGGAUGGCUUGAGUUUGGGAGAGGGAUGCGGAAUUCCAGGUGUAGCGGUGAAAUGCGUAGAUAUCUGGAGGAACACCGGUGGCGAAGGCGGGUCUCUGGGCAGUAACUGACGCUGAGGAGCGAAAGCGUGGGGAGCGAACAGG
rnacentral:rRNA from 1 species